UGGCAAACAGGCAGUGUAUGAACGUCCCUGGAGGUGCCUGACGUGCAGUGAUAAUGUGGAGAGGAAUCAACAUCCGUUACCAGGACACCUGCGCGGGUUACCUGGCCACUGCCCUAAUCAAGUUACUUGGACGAUGACGGGGUAUGAGGAGCGUAAGUGUUAC